AUUGAACGCUGGCGGCAGGCCUAACACAUGCAAGUCGAGCGGAGCGGCGGACGCGUGAGUAAUGCCAAGGAAUCUGCCUGGUAGUGGGGGAUAACGUCCGGAAACGGGCGCUAAUACCGCAUACUAUCAGAUUAGCCAAGGUCGGAUUCGCGAGUUGGUGGGGUAAAGGCCUACAAGGGCGACGAUCCGUAACUGGUCUGCGAGGAUGAUCAGGCAAACUGGAACUGGGACACGGUCCAGACUCCUACGGGAGGCAGCAGUGGGGAAUAUUGGACAAUGGGCGAAAGCCUGAUCCAGCCAUGCCGCGUGUGUGAAGAAGGUCUUCGGGUUGUAAAGCACUUUAAGUUGGGAGGCGUUACCAACAGAAUAAGCACCGGCUAACUACGUGCCAGCAGCCGCGGUAAUUC
rnacentral:rRNA from 1 species